GAGUUUGAUCGUGGCUCAGGAUGAACGCCGGCGGUGUGCCUAAUACAUGCAAGUCGUACGCACUGGCCCAACUGAUUGAUGGUGCUUGCACCUGAUCGACGAUGGAUCACCAGUGAGUGGCGGACGGGUGAGUAACACGUAGGUAACCUGCCCUGUACGGGGGAUAACAAUCAGAAAUGACUGCUAAUACCGCAUAAGACCACAGCACCGCAUGGUGCAGGGGUAAAAACUCCGGUGGUACAGGAUGGACCCGCGUCUGAUUAGCUGGUUGGUGAGGUAACGGCUCACCAAGGCGACGAUCAGUAGCCGGCUUGAGAGAGUGAACGGCCACAUUGGGACUGAGACACGGCCCAAACUCCUACGGGAGGCAGCAGUGGGAAUAUUGCACAAUGGGGAAAACCCUGAUGCAGCAACGCCGCGUGAGUGAAGAAGUAUUUCGGUAUGUAAAGCUCUAUCAGCAGGGAAGAAAGUG
rnacentral:rRNA from 1 species